ACGAACGCUGGCGGCAUGCCUCACACAUGCAAGUCGAACGAGACCUUCGGGUCUAGUGGCGCACGGGUGCGUAACGCGUGGGAACCUGCCCUUAGGUUCGGAAUAACUCCCCGAAAGGGGUGCUAAUACCGGAUAAUGUCUUCGGACCAAAGAUUUAUCGCCUUUGGAUGGGCCCGCGUUGGAUUAGCUAGUUGGUAGGGUAAAAGCCUACCAAGGCGACGAUCCAUAGCUGGUCUGAGAGGAUGGUCAGCCACACUGGGACUGAGACACGGCUCAGACUCCUACGGGAGGCAGCAGUGGGGAAUAUUGGACAAUGGGCGAAAGCCUGAUCCAGCAAUGCCGCGUGAGUGAUGAAGGCCUUAGGGUUGUAAAGCUCUUUUACCCGGGAUGAUAAUGACAGUACCGGGAGAAUAAGCUCCGGCUAACUCCGUGC
rnacentral:rRNA from 1 species